CCUACGGGAGGCAGCAGUGAGGAAUAUUGGUCAAUGGGCGUAAGUCUGAACCAGCCAAGUCGCGUGCGGGAUGACGGCUCUAUGGAUUGUAAACUUCUUUUAUAAGGGAGUAAACUUCGGGACGUGUCUUCUUUUGUAUGUACCUUAUGAAUAAGGAUCGGCUAACUCCGUGCCAGCAGCCGCGGUAAUACGGAGGAUCCGAGCGUUAUCCGGAUUUAUUGGGUUUAAAGGGUGCGUAGGCGGACUUUUAAGUCAGCGGUGAAAGUCUGUGGCUCAACCAUAGAAUUGCCGUUGAAACUGGGAGGCUUGAGUAUAGUUGAGGUAGGCGGAAUGCGUGGUGUAGCGGUGAAAUGCUUAGAUAUCACGCAGAACCCCGAUUGCGAAGGCAGCCUGCCAAGCCAUGACUGACGCUGAUGCACGAAAGCGUGGGGAUCAAACAGGAUUAGAUACCCGUGUAGUC
rnacentral:rRNA from 1 species